rnacentral:rRNA from 1 species
UACGUAGGGACCGAGCGUUGUCCGGAAUCAUUGGGCGUAAAGAGCGUGUAGGCGGUCCGGUAAGUCGGCUGUGAAAGUCCAAGGCUCAACCUUGGGAUGCCGGUCGAUACUGCCGGACUAGAGUUCGGAAGAGGCGAGUGGAAUUCCCGGUGUAGCGGUGAAAUGCGCAGAUAUCGGGAGGAACACCUAUGGCGAAGGCAGCUCGCUGGGACGUUACUGACGCUGAGACGCGAAAGCGUGGGGAGCAAACAGG